CUACUGUGUUGAGUACUCUGUCUGGUAAUUAUUGUUUGGUACACCAGGCCCUGUAGUCGUUCCUAGUAAUUCUGAUCCUGCUGGUCCGAGCAAACAUGUGAGGCCAUUCCAGCAUUAUCUGCGGAUGGAGUGUUCCAUGGCCAUUCAGCUUCGCUAUGACCGGAAAAAGGGGAAACUCUGUGUCACAAGAGUGGAGUAUGAACACAACCAUCAUAUAUCUCGUCUGCUUUUUCACAAAUACCCCAAAAAUAGGCGCCCAAAUGCAGAAGAAAGAGCUGAAAUUGAAAGGCUGUCACGGUUAAAGGUCAGUUCAUCCACCCUGAAGAGCUUUUUCAAAAAAAGUCAUGGAAAGCACCUCAAGCUUAAAGACAUACACAACAUCAAACAGCAAGUUAAAAAAAUUGCACGAAAAGACUAAAGUGAAGCUGAAAUGAUGGUGAAUAUUGUCAAAAACUUGAAAGAAAAAGGAUAAACAGCAGAAAUAGUGGCUGACAAGAAUGCUGAAGCCCUGCUCAAAGAUGCAGAUCCUGCCAUGGUCCAGCAGGAGCAGAUGAAGAGCCUCAGGGGAUACAUCCGAAAUCGGCUGAUUGGGGCACAAUUACAGAACUAAUAAAAUAAAAAUACCUCC